rnacentral:rRNA from 1 species
GGGGAAUAUUGGACAAUGGGCGCAAGCCUGAUCCAGCCAUGCCGCGUGGAUGAUGAAGGCCCUAGGGUUGUAAAGUCCUUUUAACGGGGAAGAUAAUGACGGUACCCGUAGAAUAAGCCCCGGCUAACUUCGUGCCAGCAGCCGCGGUAAUACGAAGGGGGCUAGCGUUGCUCGGAAUUACUGGGCGUAAAGCGCACGUAGGCGGACCGAUAAGUCGGGGGUGAAAUCCUGGAGCUCAACUCCAGAACUGCCUUCGAAACUGCCGGUCUUGAGUUCGGGAGAGGUGAGUGGAACUGCGAGUGUAGAGGUGAAAUUCGUAGAUAUUCGCAAGAACACCAGUGGCGAAGGCGGCUCACUGGCCCGAUACUGACGCUGAGGUGCGAAAGCGUGGGGAGCAAAC